AAGCAAAUUUAAUUUUCAAAAAUAUAUCAAAAGAUCAUUAGAAGAUGACUUUAAGGUGGUUGUGGGAAUCAUGUGCUAUUGCCAACCUUUUCUUUCUUCAUGUUCUGGACUAUGAUGACGCUCUAUUUGCUACUCAAUAUGGUUUCAACAAUGAAGAAGUCGAUCUUUGAUGAACAAACUAACAAGGCCUUAAGGAAAUUGCAAAAGAAUGCUCAAAAGAAGAAUAAGCAUCAUGAUGUGGUUCGAGCUGAAUGGGCAAAUCAUGUUAUACAGUUCUAACUUUGGUUCUGUUUAAGGUAGAUGAGUAGCACUUGGAACUGCUUUUGUGCAUUUAUAUAUAACUGAUGGAAAGUGUUGAUGAACUUAAAUUA